CCUACGGGCGGCUGCAGUGGGGAAUAUUGGACAAUGGGCGAAAGCCUGAUCCAGCCAUGCCGCGUGUGUGAAGAAGGCCUUCGGGUUGUAAAGCACUUUCAGUGGGGAAGAAAGCCUUGGGGCUAAUACCCUCGAGGAAGGACAUCACCCACAGAAGAAGCACCGGCUAACUCCGUGCCAGCAGCCGCGGUAAUACGGAGGGUGCGAGCGUUAAUCGGAAUUACUGGGCGUAAAGCGCGCGUAGGCGGUCUGAUAAGCCGGUUGUGAAAGCCCCGGGCUCAACCUGGGAACGGCAUCCGGACUGGCAGGGUAAAGGGGAGGGGGGGAAAGAGAAAUGCCCGGGGGAGGGGGGAAAGGGGGAGAGAACGGGGGGGAAUCCCAGGGGGGAGGGGGCCCUUGGGAACGGACAGGGCCGCUGGGGUGAAAAGGGGGGGGAAGAAACAGGGAUAGAAACCCCAAGAAGUC
rnacentral:rRNA from 1 species